UACAUUUCAGGAAAAGGGUUGAGUGUGGUUAAGCUCUGGUGGAUGUUGAUGAGUUUUUCGAGAGUUUUGGAGAUGAAAUAUUCGAGUGCUUUCCGGAAUUAAGCGCGCUUUCUUUGCGGUCGGUUACAAAGUGUUGGAGUUAGAAAAGAAAGAAACGCAAAUGUCACGCUUCCCAGAGAGAGACUUCCCCCUAAACACAUAGAAAGAUACUCUUGUUCCGCGCAAAACAGCGCCAGGUCAACGACACUUUAACUGAUCUCAAUUCCGUAUAACCAAGAGCUAAUUGUAUCAAAGUAGGGAGGAGAGGAGAAACGGCAAAGUGGAAAACGUUUCCACGUAACUCGAUCAACGUCAAGGUGUCCACCCAUGUUACCGCGUCUACGACCAGUCUGACCACUUAUCGACAUCUGUAAAUGCACCUUGAACGGGUCCAACGACGACUUUAUCCAUCGUUGUUGAUUCACCGCCAGUUAUCGAUAAAUUAACGCGGCGUAAACUUGACGCGUUAUCGUGCGUUGGCCACGCCUCUCUCCCUUUCUAUACCGAAAACGGGAGAGAUCGUGGGAUGGACGUGUGUUGCAACCGAUAACGAUAACGAUGCAUCGCCGACCAUGGUUGCGGAAAACGAUCGCCCACAGUUACUUAAAAAAAUGUCACCAAUUUAAAAAAUAUCACACGCAAGAGGUUAAUUACGUACAAGAAAUUAUUCUUUUCGCUCGAAGUUUUCCAGUUUUCGUUUGUGCAAAAUCUAUCAAAUAUAUAACAUCGAAGUAAACGUUUGGUAGAGCAUCGAUAUGGAAGAUGGUGCACAAGAAACGCUGGCAGUGAAGUUCCGGGUGAAACGAACGCUUUGCAUGCGUGUAUCAGCCUUCCCCAUAAAGCUUAAUUGCGAUUGAAGGUCUUCGGCAUAACCCAGACAUGGAUUAAGGUGCAACCAUAGAAGCAUACACGUUACAAAGUGCCGGUUACCGGUUUGAAGCGUUUAUUAAUGCAAUAACGUGCCGCGAUAAACUUCCACCAUAAUUCGCCUCAUUUCAUUUUAAUCUUAAGUUUAACGUUAUACGUUAUCAUUCGAAAACG